GUAGGUGGCAAGCGUUGUCCGGAAUUAUUGGGCGUAAAGCGCGCGCAGGCGGUUCUUUAAGUCUGAUGUGAAAGCCCACGGGCUCAACCGUGGAGGGUCAUUGGAAACUGGAGAACUUGAGUACAGAAGAGGAAAGCGGAAUUCCACGUGUAGCGGUGAAAUGCGUAGAGAUGUGGAGGAACACCAGUGGCGAAGGCGGCUUUCUGGUCUGUAACUGACGCUGAGGCGCGAAAGCGUGGGGAGCAAACAGGAUUAGAUACCCUGGUAGUCCACGCCGUAAACGAUGAGUGCUAAGUGUUAGGGGGUUUCCGCCCCUUAGUGCUGCAGCUAACGCGUUAAGCACUCCGCCUGGGGAGUACGGCCGCAGGGCUG
rnacentral:rRNA from 1 species